rnacentral:rRNA from 1 species
GAUGAACGCUAGCUACAGGCUUAACACAUGCAAGUCGAGGGGCAGCAUGGUCUUAGCUUGCUAAGGCCGAUGGCGACCGGCGCACGGGUGAGUAACACGUAUCCAACCUGCCGUCUACUCUUGGACAGCCUUCUGAAAGGAAGAUUAAUACAAGAUGGCAUCAUGAGUUCACAUGUUCACAUGAUUAAAGGUAUUCCGGUAGACGAUGGGGAUGCGUUCCAUUAGAUAGUAGGCGGGGUAACGGCCCACCUAGUCUUCGAUGGAUAGGGGUUCUGAGAGGAAGGUCCCCCACAUUGGAACUGAGACACGGUCCAAACUCCUACGGGAGGCAGCAGUGAGGAAUAUUGGUCAAUGGGCGAGAGCCUGAACCAGCCAAGUAGCGUGAAGGAUGACUGCCCUAUGGGUUGUAAACUUCUUUUAUAAAGGAAUAAAGUGAGUCUCGUGAGACUUUUUGCAUGUACCUUAUGAAUAAGGACCGGCUAAUUCCGUGCCAG